ACCACCAUGACUACCUCCAUCCUUUCACACUACAAACAAAAAGACAUGUAGUGACACACGCUUAAUGACACAUUUUUUUGCCAUUGUAAUAUGUUUUUCGUGACAUUAACAUUUAAUAUCAUAUUUUUUUUAAUGAUUGAUGAUUUGAAAUGCUAUUAUAAAUUAUAAAUUAUAGAUUUUAUAUUUUAAUUUCACUCCCAACAGUUUUACUUUCCUAUAUUUCAAUUUCAUUCCUUUUAAAUUUCCAAAUUCUAAUUUUGUUUCCCUUCUUAAAAAUUCAUUGCACUCUUACCCUUUGUAAUUUGUAUCUUCAUUCAAUUGAUCUAGGGCUUGUAAUUUCCAAGCGAAAAUGUCAAGCUCUUUCCCUAGGGGGUGUUUGGGAUUGUUUUUCAGGCUAAAAAGUUCUUUUUACAAAAAUCUUUUUUGACCUUUUGACUUUUUACAAAGAAAGUUUUAGAAUGUGUUUGAUUUAUCUUUUGACUUUUUAAAAUCUAAAAAUUCAAAAGUUACAAAAAGUCACAAAUUCAUAACUUUUGAAACAAUUCAUUUCUAUUCUUGCCAAAAAAAGUUGAUCUAAAAGAAUUUUUUGAAAUGCUAAACAUCUUUUUUGACUUUUCGCUUUUAAAAAAACCAAAAAUACUAAAGGGCAUUUUAAAAGGAUUCCCAACCCCCCUAAUCAUGUUCAAUCACUCUUCUAUGUCAAUCAUGUCAAAUUUAAUUUCUCUUUGACCCUUUGUAUCUUCAUACAUUGAUCCUAGGUCUGCUCGUCAAGAAUGGUUUUCAAUGCUAAUGGAAUAUCUUUCAUGUCUAGAGACGUACAACAACUGCUCAACGAAGUGCCUAGAGAAACUGUGUUUAAAACUCCACCCUUUUGGUGCUCCCCCAUUCUCUGCACCACCGGAAAACGGUGAUUCAUUUCACGCCACUAUGUCAUGCUCUCUCCCUUAUCACGCUCAAUCAUUUUUCAAUGCGUAUCUGAUCAGAGUUGGUUUUUCUAUGACCCCUUUGUAUCAUCAUAAAAUUGAUCCUAGGUCUCCUUGUCAAUAAUUUAUAGGCACACAACAAGUGCUCAACGAAAUGCAUGAAUAGAUUGUGUUCGCAACUCCUCCCUUUCAUUUAUCCCCCCGUUACCUACACCAUCGAAAAAGGUAAUACACGCUCUUAUGUGUAAUUCGUUGUCAGAUUUUUUGAUUUUUGGUCUUAUCAGUUGUUCUUGGGCUUUUUAUUUUAGUUUUGUGUAUCUACUCUGUUUGUUCUAAAGUUAUCAUAUUUUAGGUUUAAAAUAUCGUUUAUUGAAUGUUUUUUGGGCUUGAUGUUUAACCUAUUUGGUGGUGGCUAUGGAAACUCUGAAACGAGAUCUUCCCCACAAAAACUUGUUGAAGCUUUUCUCUACCUCUCUAUUGUCAAACCACUUUUGUUGUUAAUGUUUGGUAAGAUGGUGGAAGUUAGUUUCUAAUUUGAUGUUCUGUUGAUAGGUAAUUCUGAACUCUGUAGUCGAUUACUCUCCCACUAUUUCAAUAAUUCCAUUAGUCGGUUACUUUCAUGAUUAGAUUACUUACUUUCUAGAUUUGAAUGUAGAUUCCUUUUUCGGUUGCUUUUAAAUAGAUUUCAAGGAAUUGUACUUAAGCGUUCGAUGUUUAUGUAUGCGUUUCAUGCCAUCUUUGUUAGACCUUUGUUAAUCAGUUAAAUUUGUAUAUCUUAUUAUUGUUAAUUUUUUUAGGAAAUCUUUUAAAUAUAUAUCUUGUUAAUUUGUUCAGGCUAGAGGGAUGUAUCAAGCCUACAAUAUUUUGUUAAAGGCUCAAGGUAUGCCCACCUAUAAACAUGGAGUUUUUAUGCAUGAUGACAUCACAAAUCUAUUAAAGCAAGAAUAAUAGUUAUGAUUAUUCAUCAAAAUUUGGAAUUUUUUCACAUAUGGUUUAGUUAUUGACUUGUUUCUUAUACUUUUUUGUUUAUUGUUUUAACUUUGUUUGAUUUCAAACGAUUACGUUUCAUUUAUAUAUUACUAGUUCAUUUCGUAUAAAAAUAAAAAUUGAUUUUAUAUUUUUAAGUUAUUAUAUAUGUUAGUUUGAGACUAAAAUUUAGUAUUAAAUUGUAGCAUUUGCAACAUAUUAUUACAACUAAAAGUGUGUAUUAGGGAUUGAAUACCAGUCCUUGUAAACACGUAUCGGAUACCGAAUGAUCCGAGACUGAUAUCACGUCAUUGAGAAAUCAGGUUAUGGACCGAAUGACAUUCUAUUUGAGACUAAUAUCCGGUCACUGAAAAAUUACAUUAGGAACGGAAUGACAUUAUAUGUGAGACAGAUAUUUGAGACUAAUAUCAGUCACUAAACAAACAUUUAGAGACUAAAUGAGAUAAUAUUAAAGAUUGGUAUUCACUCCUUGGAUGAUGGUAUUAAAGACUAAUGUGAUAUAAAUGUGUCCUCGAAGGAAAUAUAAUGAAGACUCGGCAUGAUAGUAUCAAAGACAAAUAUUUAGUCUUUGAAAGAUAGUUUCAAGGAUUGAUACAACAAAUAAAACAUAUUGGGACUAAUAUGAUAUCAAAUUGGGGAUUUGAAGAAAACAGUUUAGAGACUAAAUGAGAUAUUAUCAAAGACUGGUUUUCUGUCGUUGGUACUUUGUUGUAAUAGGGAUUGAUUUAUAGUCCCAGAUACACAAAAAAUCAACAAGAUUAGGUCUCAGGGACUAGUUGGGGACUAAUAAAUCAAUCCUCUGAUUUUCGUCAGAGACUGUCAGUCUUUGAUAACCAUUUUUCUUUUUCUUGUAGUGAAUCUGAAACAAACUCGCCACAUAUACGAAGGUAAAACAAAUUCCGGAAAAUUCGUUACCUAAAAAGAAUGAGUAUCAGACCUGCCAAGAUGAUGAUCACAAUUAGAUUGAAAUUUGUUUCUCUUAUUCUUUCCAUCAUAAUAUUGAUCCCUAUUCCAUCCCUCCUCGGGCUUCCAAUGUGAAUUCCGAAAAGACAUGAUGAUGAACACCCUUGACAGAGCGUAAGAGACAACAAGCCCUAAAUUAAAUUGAAACCAAAUGAUCACGCAAUCAACCACAAAAGCACUGAGAUUCGGCCUCGGCCUUGCCGACAUUUGAAUCCAUCGGAGAAGAAGGGAUGAGGACAGUAGUCGGAGGCGGUAGGUCCGAAAUCGCCAGGGAUUGAUACUACACGCUUCGAAAAUUAAAUGAGUAAG
rnacentral:lncRNA from 1 species